AGAGUAGGUGUUGUGCUAAAUAAUGAUCCUAGAAGCUACAUUUAUAAUAUUUACCUCAGUUAAAAAAUACUGCUGGUAACGUUGAAGCACUGGCGGGCUUCGUCAACCGUCAGUUAUAAAAGCUCUGUUAAAUACAUUUUGUUCCGGGUUUUAAUGAAUUACGUUACAGUCCUGCUUUAUUUCUUUGUCAUUUUAAAUUAAAUUGCCAAUCACAAUAAGACAGCUGUGUUGUAAGGAGACGAAAUUCGAGACAGUAAUUUCAGUGAAGCGCGUGGUCAAAGGAACCGGGUGGAAGACGGUGGAAGGGAAAUUAUACAGGUUGGAGCUAAACUCGGAAGGAAAGUGGAAACUGCUGGCCACAGUUGAGAACAUUCCGCCGAUAACCAUGGUUAAUAAAUGGUCAGACACGUCACUGGCUUUAAAAUAUAAACCCCAUUGAUGCAAAAAGAUGCUGCAUGGAAUGACAAUGAGGUUUGGAACAGACUUGGUGAAGAACAUGGAAACAUCUCUAAAUAAAAUGGCCCCAAACAUCAUCAGGAGUGCAAAAGAAGGAAGUAAAAAACAUCUCUACGCCAAUCUCAUUGGAGAGGAAACCACAGAAGGUCUGGUGAGGAAUGCUGCACUUAUGUUAUUGCAAGCAUUAUUUCAAGAAAAUCCCAGCUUCCUUUACUGUGUAAAUAGUGAACCCAAAGGUCCCACACCAACCAUAGUGUUCAACGGCUCUCCUGAUCUUCUCAAAUCUGAAAGUAUCAACUGUAUAAUGGACAAUGUGAACUUAAUAUGUGGAAGACAUUGACAUCACAGGCUGUGGAAUGACUGUGUCACAGGUCGGAGAAGCGGACCGCCCCUGUCGCGGAUCACGCUCCUCCUAGUUCCACCUUGAGGAGGUCCCAAAGCACCCCAAUGACCAGACAAACCAGAGAUAAGUAAAAUAUAAAAAUAGAAACUUUAUUUAAAUUAUUUAAAACUAAAGUGGGGAAUGGGAAAGGGAAUCUAAAAAUCUCCCUUCUCGCCCUCAGGGGGAGUAUUACGGGGCCAGGGACGUUGGAGGGGUUUCCACGUGACUCCACCUCGAACACCGCUACAGAGCGUAUCUGGCUGGGUUGGGCACACACCGUCGCGGCGGCCCCUGAUGGCAUCCACAAAGGUCCAAGACCCUCCUAAGCUCCCAGCCGUAGCAGAACUACGUAUUUCAGCACCCGAACGACUAACAACCCAGCCGGCAUCUGCAGCGUAUAUCCAACGCAAUCAAACUUCACUCUGACAAGUAACUUCCUAUACACAACCACGCCGUCCUUUCGCCCGGACCAGCCCCGCACUCUUUCCGCCCGCUACCUAGCGGUCGCCGGAUCAGCAGAGCCUGCGGACUCUUCGGAGGCUGGUCUUCGUUGUGCUGCCCAAGGCGGAAGUUUACUUCCAGUAACUUCUACCUUCUCUCUUUAUAUCCUCCUCCAUGGCGUGGCUCGCCCAACCAUCGCUCGCCACGUCACUCACACAGCUGUGCCUUGUUUCAGCGAGUGCGGGGAUUCCCGGGGAACCCGGAAGUGCCGGUGUCUGUACAAACCGGUCCGGGCGGAACCUCUUCACUCUCCUUUUGGUUCCGCCCCGCAUAGUCACUUCGUGACAACUGUUUGCGUUUUUUUUUCUCCUCAAUGUUCAAUACCCUUUUGCCAUUAAGCACACAGUGACUUUAAUUUAUAAAAUAUAUGCUUAAGUUUUAAUACCUGUACAAAACAAAUGUACAAUCAACUUGUGUAAAUUGUCAUUCUAUUUAAUAGAUUGUUCAUGAAUUGUCUUUAAAUGCAUUGUGAUUUCGGUAACACUUUACAAUAAGGUUCAUUAGUUAACAUUAGUUAAUGUAUUAACUAACUUGAACAAACCAUGAGCAAUACAUUUGUUACAGUAUUUAUUCAUCUUUGUUAAUGUUAGUUAAUUCAAAUUUAAGCUUUAAUUGCUUGUUCAUGUUAGUUCAGAG